CUCAAAGCCCUUCUCAAUACUGAACUCAUGUGUGGGGUUAUCGUUGGACUUGCCGACUGAUACAGACAGUACAUCAGAUUGUUGCAUAGGUGUGAUUUGCAGCAUGACACGCGAUGGGAAGUGCUUCUCCUCGGAGCCAUAUCCGCGUUCUGCCAUGAGGGUCUCAGAGACCAAAGAGUCCACAUCACACCUGUGACGGAAGCCAAAAGCUCUUCCAUACCCAUGGCUAUGACUGGGCAGUACAGCUGCACCUUCCAGAGCCCGCUUGCUGAGAGGGCAUAUGAGAACAGUGGCGAUGGCACUCCAAAUGAGUGGUUUGUGGAUCUAAGCUCGACGACCCAGUUAGUUACUGCAAGAUUCAUUGUCAGCAUCCACUGAUCCUCAAGGUUUGCACCAAGCAUUUUAACAAGGUUCUUUGCAGCAUCUCUGCACUUUGAACCAGUAAGCUGGGCUCUCAGUGAAUCCAAGCAUCCAGGGCGGAGAUCACGAGGAGCCUCGUAGAUGCAAACCAGGAAGGCCAGGGACAAGAAAACUAUGUUGAACACGUCCUUGAAGUUGCCAUGAUGCUGUGCCCCAGGGAACCGAAAGGAUGAUUUCUUGUCUGGACCAUACCUCAGGACUGAGUUGACAAUGUCAACGAACACCUGUAUCAUAUCUUGUUCAUGUAGAGUUUGCUGUGUGUUUGUUUUCAGGUGGACUGGUUUUGACGUCCACAGGGAAAUCGGCAUAUUGUAGUUUGCAAAGAUGGAGAAGGUAACAUAGGAUGGCUGGAGGAUGGGAGGGUUUUUCACAAUAGAGAGGUUCAUCGUUGGCUGUGAUGACGCCAGUGCUGAUGGUGUGGUGCAAAUACAAAGGGACAUGGCAUUGGUGCGCCACUGGGAGAACUGGGGGAGACUGGUGAUCCAAGCCCAUGCAUCAGGAGCAAAGUUGGAGGCCAUUGUUUUGGUUUUGGAAACUUAAGCUGGUGCUUUGAUCGGUGGUGGAAAUAGGGAGGUUUUAUAGAGAAUGAAGGCAAUGUUUUGUGGAUGAAAUAUUGGCCUUCAAUGAUUGAGUCCAGUAAGGCCUGGCAAAGUUUGGGGGCAAAGCAGAUUCUCUGGUUGAUAACUAGUGUCUGGUUUGUAGAAUUCCUUUUGUCAAUUGGACCUUGAGGAAUCUCUCUUUAUACUUCCGUGCAGAGCAGAAGGUAAAUUGCUGCAACGAAUUUCAAACUCAGAUUGGUGAUUUAUUCUGUCUGAAAUGAGGAGAAUAUACUGCUUUAAAGAAAAGCUGGGGAAAGCAUGGUGCUAAGCGGAUAAGUUGGUGCAGAUCCUGGAUAAUUGGUUGCAGUGAUGACCAGUGUUGGUUUGGUUGGUGUGUACGUCUGCUCGAGUCCAGUGCUGGUGUUGCACUGCAAAAUUAUGGGUGGAGGAACGAGCCGUGAUGGUUCUGCUUUUCUGGACGAGGAAUGGAUGCUAUGCUAGUCUUGUACGGGAAACUUGUGCCGUUGAUUGGCAGUCGGCACUGGAAGCAUCUUGCUUUUUUCUGCUUUUGUAAGGUUUCAAGGUUGAUCAGCUCCAUUUGCUUAUCAUUUGCCUUCAUCUAAUAUAACCAUUCCCCCCAGACACAUUGCUAAAUCAACUGCGAAACUCA